GGAAGGGGAGGUGAGCACUAACCCACAUGCCUUCCCCACUGGGCUGCUUCCUUGGGCUGGUUAUCUCUGUGGAAGGAGUGACCUUUUCUACAAGGCAAAGGUGACUAAAAGGAACAUGGGGGCCUCAACUUCUCCUUUAGAUGAUGACAGCUUUUCUCUUUGAAGCCGUUACCCAAAGUUCAAGAAGCUGAGACUCGGGUCACAGAACAAAUAAGUUAAGUGAACUAUGUGACUGGUGCUGGCCAGUGAGCAAGGAGCCAAAGCAUGGCAGGGAACACAGAAGAUGUGUGGAAUAUGGCUCUGUUCACAAGGAACUUACAAUCUACGUGAAGAGACAAGGUGGAAAAAAGUCUGGGAGCUCAUUUUUUAAGUGACUUGCUUUUCAACAGGAUCCCUCAAAGUGACAAGAAAAUAUGGAAACCAACACUGUUUUGAGUUGUUUUCUUGUGAAAUGGAUUAGCAAGCAUUCCUUCAUGAAAGCUCCCAGUGUGUGCUCUGGUGUUCAUAGCUGUGUGUGCAGAAAACUCCAGGAGUUCAAGAGCAUGGAUAAAUAUCAAAAACAUAGUGGUGAUCCUGAGAAAAAAGAACAAAGCUGGAGGCAUCACAAUCCCUGACUUCAAAACAUUCUACAAAGCAAUAGUAAUCAAAACAGCAUGGUACUGGUACAACAACAGACACACAGACCAACGCAACAGAAGUGAAAGCCCAGAAAUAAAACCUCACAUCUACAGGCAGCUAAUCUUCAACAAAGGAGCAAAGAACAUACAAUGGAGAAAGGAAAGUCUC